rnacentral:rRNA from 1 species
UGGGGAAUUUUGGACAAUGGGCGAAAGCCUGAUCCAGCAAUGCCGCGUGUGUGAAGAAGGCCUUCGGGUUGUAAAGCACUUUUUGUCCGGGAAAGAAAUCCUUGGCUCUAAUACAGUCGGGGGAUGACGGUACCGGAAGAAUAAGCACCGGCUAACUACGUGCCAGCAGCCGCGGUAAUACGUAGGGUGCAAGCGUUAAUCGGAAUUACUGGGCGUAAAGCGUGCGCAGGCGGUUUGCUAAGACCGAUGUGAAAUCCCCGGGCUCAACCUGGGAACUGCAUUGGUGACUGGCAGGCUAGAGUAUGGCAGAGGGGGGUAGAAUUCCACGUGUAGCAGUGAAAUGCGUAGAGAUGUGGAGGAAUACCGAUGGCGAAGGCAGCCCCCUGGGCCAAUACUGACGCUCAUGCACGAAAGCGUGGGGAGCAAACAGGAUUAGAUACCCUGGUAGUCCACGCCCUAAACGAUGUCAACUAGUUGUUGGGGAUUCAUUUCCUUAGUAACGUAGCUAACGCGUGAAGUUGACCGCCUGGGGAGUACGGUCGCAAGAUUAAACUCAAUGAAUUGACGGGGUCAUAGCUGUUUCCU